rnacentral:rRNA from 1 species
AGCGAACGCUGGCGGCAGGCCUAACACAUGCAAGUCGAACGAUCCUUCGGGAUAGUGGCGGACGGGUGAGUAACACGUGGGAACGUGCCCUUUGGUUCGGAAUAACUCAGGGAAACUUGAGCUAAUACCGGAUGUGCCCUUCGGGGGAAAGAUUUAUCGCCAUUGGAGCGGCCCGCGUUGGAUUAGCUAGUAGGUGGGGUAAAGGCCCACCAAGGCUACGAUCCAUAGCUGGUCUGAGAGGAUGAUCAGCCACACUGGGACUGAGACACGGCCCAGACUCCUACGGGAGGCAGCAGUGGGGAAUCUUGCGCAAUGGGCGAAAGCCUGACGCAGCCAUGCCGCGUGAAUGAUGAAGGUCUUAGGAUUGUAAAAUUCUUUCACCGGGGACGAUAAUGACGGUACCCGGAGAAGAAGCCCCGGCUAACUUCGUGCCAGCAGCCGCGGUAACAC